rnacentral:rRNA from 1 species
UACGUAGGGUGCAAGCGUUAAUCGGAAUUACUGGGCGUAAAGCGUGCGCAGGCGGCUAUGCAAGACAGAUGUGAAAUCCCCGGGCUCAACCUGGGAACUGGCAUUUGUGACUGCAUGGCUAGAGUACGGUAGAGGGGAUGGAAUUCCGCGUGUAGCAGUGAAAUGCGUAGAUAUGGCGGAGGAACACCGAUGGCGAAGGCAAUCCCCUGGACCUGUACUGACGCUCAUGCGACGAAAGCGUGGGGAGCAACAGG